rnacentral:rRNA from 1 species
GAUGAACGCUGGCGGCGUGCCUAAUACAUGCAAGUCGAGCGAACGGACGAGAAGCUUGCUUUUCUGAUGUUAGCGGCGGACGGGUGAGUAACACGUGGAUAACCUACCUAUAAGACUGGGAUAACUUCGGGAAACCGGAGCUAAUACCGGAUAAUAUUUUGAACCGCAUGGUUCAAAAGCGAAAGACGGUCUUGCUGUCACUUAUAGAUGGAUCCGCGCUGCAUUAGCUAGUUGGUAAGGUAACGGCUUACCAAGGCAACGAUGCAUAGCCGACCUGAGAGGGUGAUCGGCCACACUGGAACUGAGACACGGUCCAGACUCCUACGGGAGGCAGCAGCAGGGAAUCUUCCGCAAUGGGCGAAAGCCUGACGGAGCAACGCCGCGUGAGUGAUGAAGAUCUUCGGAUCGUAAAACUCUGUUAUUAGGUAAGAACAUAUGUGUAAGUAACUGUGCACAUCUUGACGGUACCUAAUCAGAAAGCCACGGCUAGCUACGUG